rnacentral:rRNA from 1 species
GAUCCUGGCUCAGGAUGAACGCUGGCGGCGUGCCUAACACAUGCAAGUCGAGCGAAGCACUUUGCUUAGAUUCUUCGGAUGAAGAGGAUUGUGACUGAGCGGCGGACGGGUGAGUAACGCGUGGGUAACCUGCCUCAUACAGGGGGAUAGCAGCUGGAAACGGCUGAUAAAACCCGCAUAAGCGCACAGCAUCGCAUGAUGCAGUGUGAAAAACUCCGGUGG